UCUGCCAGCUGGCAUUGCACAGAACCUCACCAAACCAGGAGCUGCUGGAGGUGGACAGUGAGCUAAUGUACAGUAUGGCUGCUGGCACAUGGCUGCAGAGGUAUUGUCAGCAGUGGAAGAAGUACCAAUACCACAAUGUAAAAAUACUCCACUACAAAUUGCUGAGUUCGUCCAUGUACAGCUGGUGGAGGGCAUCAAGUUCCUCGGCCGUUGGCUUCUCAUUCCUCUCCACCCUAAUUGGCCGCCCAACUGUAGGGAGGUGACAAGGGCAUGAGACCAAAGGAGUACUGGAAAAUACCACGGGCGUGGAAGAGAGGCAGGGAGACACCCAUGAUGCUUUGCAGCCGCUCCUGUAACCAUCGAAGCCAUGUUCCUCUUUGGUUUCCCACUUGAUCAAAC